UCGGUAGUAUCGCUUUGUAAAGUGAUUGUGGUGUUGUGAUCUGUGUGAUUUUAAUGUAAAAGAUAAAGCGAAUAUCAGUAUUUGUACAAUGAUUUUAUCAUCAUAACUACAUUAUUUAAACUUACUUUGUUUACGAACUUUUAAAGAUUUUAUUUAAAUUUUCUAUGCGAAAUGCACGACAUGUUAAAUGUGAUUUUUAAUGUUAGUUUUAUCAUGUUGCAACUUGUAAUUGAGAGUCGUACUCGUAGUUCAAAUUUGUACUACUAGUAGUACUAUAUAAACUUGUGUAGUAAAGCGGCCGUAAGAGUUCAAAUAUAAAUAUAUAUCGUACUUAGAGUUAAGUUAUACACGGAUGAAACACGUAUAUCAAAAUUUCAUAGUAUAGAGAAACAGGUUACAACAAAGACAAAAAUUUAGUUAUAUUUUAAGAAAGAAAUGUUUGCUGUUUGUUAAAUAUUGGAAAACAAUUAUGGAGUUGUUGCAAUUUGAAAAUGAGUUGAUAUUGAAACUAGAAGAAGAAGAUGGAUUAGUUAUUACAGCAAAAGGUCUUGGUAUUGAACGUGUGCUGCUUAAUUUAAUUAAAGUACACAGCCAUCCUGAAAACUUGAUUCUGAUUCUAGGGACUUCUGCACAUGAAGAGGUGAGAACAC